GAUGAACGCUGGCGGCGUGCUUAACACAUGCAAGUCGAACGGUGAAGCAGAGCUUGCUCUGUGGAUCAGUGGCGAACGGGUGAGUAACACGUGAGCAACCUGCCCUGGACUCUGGGAUAAGCGCUGGAAACGGCGUCUAAUACUGGAUACGAGACGUGGCCGCAUGGUCAACGUUUGGAAAGAUUUUUUGGUUCAGGAUGGGCUCGCGGCCUAUCAGCUUGUUGGUGAGGUAAUGGCUCACCAAGGCGUCGACGGGUAGCCGGCCUGAGAGGGUGACCGGCCACACUGGGACUGAGACACGGCCCAGACUCCUACGGGAGGCAGCAGUGGGGAAUAUUGCACAAUGGGCGAAAGCCUGAUGCAGCAACGCCGCGUGAGGGAUGACGGCCUUCGGGUUGUAAACCUCUUUUAGCAAGGAAGAAGCGAAAGUGACGGUACUUGCAGAAAAAGCGCCGGCUAACUACGUGCCAGCCGCCGCCGUAA
rnacentral:rRNA from 1 species